rnacentral:lncRNA from 1 species
AACACCAUAUCUUCUAAUGUUUCUACCAUAGCAAAUAAUAGUUGUUUGGACAUAUAUGUAGUGUGUCAAUUUAAGCCUAAUCACUUCUAAAUAAAAUGCAUCCAUUCCAUAAGCUCUAGUAUAAGUGCCUCCACCAUCCAUCAACCUUGAUUCUUCUCAAAUGACAACAUACCACCUUUGAAAUAGCUUCUUGAUCUAAAAUCACCAAACAUUUCAGCAUCCACUACAAGCUCAUCAAUUUGGAGGUACAAUACCUUUUGUAAGGUAGUCUCAUUGAUCCCAAUAAUACUCUCCUUGAAAACACUGAAACCAUCUUCCAGAUCAUAAUUGGUUAUAUAUUCUUCCAACAAUUCUACAUCAAUUGGUGGUAAGUCAUUAGAUCCUCGUAAAAAUUGAUAUAAUUAUACAUUUUUAAAAUCUCUUUGUUUUUUUUGUAUUCCAGCAGAAUUCCAACUUCAUUAGUUCUAUAUUGGUAAGAACCACUAGGAACGGCGACCUCAAACUACUCUUAGCUCUCAGAUUACGACAGCUUUCUUUUCUGUCUAUAGCUCUCUUCAUUCUUUCUAUUGAC